rnacentral:lncRNA from 1 species
AUUUGUGCACAUUUACCGGCGUGCGCAGCCGCUCUCGACCUGCAUACCGUCUGUGGAUUUUGCCAUUCCGUUAUUUUAACUGGAAAGUUACUAGUUUCAUAGCUCAUUUCAUGUUAGAAGAUUUGUAACUUAGUCAAGGAAUUACGAAGAAAUAUUUACUGCUUACACAAUUCAAUCAGCGACUAAGGCAAAUGAAACGCUGUUGGCCUUUUUUUGUUCUACUUAUUGGGAUUUUGAGGAAUGUUGACAACCAUAAUGACUUUUCGAAGGUACCACAAGAAUAUCGAGAAAAAGUGCAGGAAGUGAAAAAGAUGAUAGAGGGAAACCAAGCUCUUGUCAUCUCACUUCAGCACGAACUGGCCACCACAAAAUAACAACACAAGGUGUUGGAAAUCAAGAAAAAAUUCGACUGGUCUCUUAAUGCCUCGACAUCAUUUGAAGUAUCAACAGAAACGCAGUGGAAGUGAAGAGUGGGAUAAGCGGACUUUAGUUGCCUUGUAUACGGCUGGCCUGCGAAGUGCUGGAACCCCGACGUUUGCUAUGUUUACUUACGAUAAACAAAUGAAACCAGCAAAAAAUACAACUGGUUACUUUACUAUUGUUUAUGCAAAGCGGCCAUGCUUCGUUGUACAGAGUGAGACAGAUCGUUCAAGUUGCCUUGCCUGGGUGAGAAAACGUGCCUUAGCUUUUCUUCCCAAAGACUGCGUAACAGUAUUUACCACCACAUGCGUAAAUUCUACGUCGGUGGUGCAGAAAUAUGACCCAAAUGUUUGUCGAAGUGUAUAAAUGGGUCACAGCAGGAAAGCGGCC